rnacentral:rRNA from 1 species
CCUACGGGUGGCUGCAGUGGGGAAUAUUGGGCAAUGGGCGCAAGCCUGACCCAGCAACGCCGCGUGAAGGAAGAAGGCUCUCGGGUUUUAAACUUCUUUUCUCAGGGACGAAGCAAGUGACGGUACCUGACGAAUAAGCCACGGCUAACUACGUGCCAGCAGCCGCGGUAAUACGUAGGUGGCAAGCGCUAUCCGGAUUUACUGGGUGUAAAGGGCGUGUAGGCGGGAAAGCAAGUCAGAUGUGAAAACCAUGGGCUCAACCUGUGGCCUGCAUUUGAAACUGUUUUUCUUGAGUACUCGAGAGGCAGGCGGAAUGCGUGGUGUAGCGGUGAAAUGCGUAGAUAUUAGGAAGAACACCGGUGGCGAAGGCAGUCUGCUGGACAGCAACUGACGCUGAGGCGCGAAAGCGUGGGGAGCAAACAGGAUUAGAUACCCUAGUAGUC